UCCCUGGUAGUAUAUCGGUUAGUACACGCGCCUGUCAUGUAAUGGUGGUCGAUAUUCGCGCGCGAAAGCUGGGUUCGACUCCCAGCCAGGGAG